rnacentral:lncRNA from 1 species
UGGCUGACUAACCCUGUGGAACUUAAAAGUUCAAAGACAGGGAUGCCUGGAUUCUGUCUCUGCCUCUGCACGUGUGUCUGUGCAGGCAUCCGAGCUGACCGGCCAGCUUCCCGCUGGUGGAGGUGGGAGGCAUAGGCUGCUUCUACACGCCCAAAGCCUACCCACUACAGAGUUACUUGCAGUCACACAUGCUGACUAAGGGAGGAGAGCAACUCCAAUCAAACGAAGCUAAGGAAGAUAGCACACAAACUGGCAAGAAAUUCCUGAGAGGAGGAAAAUGAGCUGCAGAAGGAUCAAAUGACCUGCCUGAGGUGCCCUAUCUGUUGGCACAGGCCAGAGCACAUGGUGGAUGCAGGGGCACCCCCUUCCCUUCUCCUCCCCUCCGGCUCUUUGCUGACAGGAUUCUCUCUUGCCUUCUCUGAUGGUACCUGUGCUACGUGCCACAUCCUUUCCCUCAAUGAAUUUCAGGCAGUGGAAGGGGCCGCAGAAGUUCCUUGACUCAUGAGGCGAGGCAUUCAGCGGCCUCGUGACACCUCCCAGGAUCUGCAGUCAUUGGGCUGCACUUGCCAAUAGCAACACCUGGCAAAAAUAGCUAAGAAGCAGAGCGGCCUGGGCUCAGGAGCUGAGCAACCCCUGACUGGCCAGAUGGAGACUGUGUUGAGCUCUGCCCAAGCCCUGUGAUCCUGGAAAACAGUGAAGUUAAGGAGCCAUCUGCAUUCUAGGGAAUGGCCCACUGCAAAAAAUAGCCUUCCUUAUAGGACGUAGAGGACUCAUGAUGUCCCCUCAUUUAUGAUGAGCCAACACACAGCCCUUCCAAAUUCCGAUUCUUUGCUUCAUAACUGAUGAGCUGUUUUGUUCCCACUGGUCAAUCGGAACAACAUUCUUGCUAACCAGAUUUUGGUUCAGCUCUUCUCCCUCCCCAUGUACCUGCCCUGUGUCCUGUCCUCAUCCUGAGCCAGCACACACCCCUCCUUAGUAGCUCCUCCUGCAGCAGGCUGACCUCGGACUCUCCCUGAUCCAUUGUCCAAAUAUAUCACCCUUUCACCCUACAUCCUCACACCCCAUUCUUUCUAGUUUUGUUCAUUCCUCCCUGUGAAAGAUGAACCCUCUUUGCCUAACCCCGGACCUGCUUGCAGACUGCUAUGAUGGCCAGAGUGUCCCCCCUACUGCAAGAGUCCCUUCUGUCCCUUGCAACAUCUUUUAAAUAAAAUCUCUCUUUACCAA